rnacentral:ncRNA from 2 species
AAAUAUCACUAGGGGUGCAUUCGUGCUGAGAGGAGUAAUCCGACCCUUUGAACCUGUUUGGUUUAUACCAGCGUAGGGAAGUGCUUAAUGCCUAUA